rnacentral:lncRNA from 1 species
UCAAGAACAACGCCGGCUUCCCGCACAACGUCGUCUUCGACGAAGACGAGGUGCCGAGCGGCGUCGACGCCACCAAGAUCUCGCAGGAGGAGUACCUCAACGCGCCAGGCGAGACCUACUCCGUCACCCUCACCGUGCCGGGAACCUACGGCUUCUACUGCGAGCCGCAUCAAGGAGCCGGAAUGGUCGGCAAGAUCACCGUCAACUAAUUAAGCUAGCUAUCGAUCGAUAUCCAUUCAUGUAUUAGCUGUUGCUUCCUGCUUUGUACUCCGCCGAUCUGUCCAUCUCUACAUGUUUUCGUCUUCACACAACAACCUCUGCUACGACUACGUAUAUAUGCAUGCUACUAGCUGAUUGAUUUUAACGACCAGGCCGACCCCGAAAGCUAGCUUGGACCAAGUUUUGUACCCAUUAAUUCUACCGAUGCAUCUCUCAGUUUAGACUCCCAUAAUCAUACAAACUGCUAGCUUUCAUCUGCAUCUGCUUAGUACAUCUAACUAUUUGUACCGCAAGGUGAC